rnacentral:misc_RNA from 1 species
CACAAUCUCUCAAGAACUCUGAAAUCUGAAAUUGCAAUCAUUUCUCCAAACUCCCACAUUUCUCUCUCACUCUCUCUCUCUCUUAAAAUUGUCAAAAUGAUCCUCUUCUUUGUAAGUGUUGUGGGGCAGAAAUAUUUGUACAAAUAGGAGCGCUGCUUUUAUCUCUUCCGGUUAUUGUACAUGAGAAAUUCUGAUUAUUUCUGCUCAAACAAGUGAGAAUCAUGCCAUGUUGACUAAGAGCAAGUUUGGAGUACUCAGCCAGGAGUAAGAAAACAGAACAUCCUGAAAACUGUGCGCACCUCUCUUGUCCUUGUUCAAUCUUUUUCAGUUUGGUGACUUGCAUAUUUUUAGUCUAUCCAAUACUUAUAUCCUAGUAGACAUUCAAGUGAAUUCCUCCUUUGGUGAUUGUAUGGUACAAGGAAUUUAAAAAAUAGGUAGCACACAGAUUUCAUGGAUGAAUAAACCUUGCGUUCUUAGUCAAUCAACUACUUGUAGCUUGCGUAAUUAGCUUUGCCGUUAGUCCAAGAAAACAUAUUAUAUGGCUGACCGCCUGACCCAAUACUUUAGAUAUAAUCAACUCUCUUUCUUUUUGUUUAUAUCAUCCUUGAUAUUUGGUAGAAAAACGUGGGGUUUGAAUUAGAUUUGGCCUCGGGUCGGUUAGGAAUUGGAUUGAAACUAGUGAAGAUUGAAUUGACUAAAUUAGUAUUGAAUUGGAUAAAAUCAGCUGGUCCGUUUUCAAGCCAAACAUUUUUUUUGAAAUGAAAAGAAUUUCAAUCAUUAGAUUUAACUAAAAUGGAAACUGAGAGAAUCAUUAGCUCUUAGCUUUUUGUUUGAAUCCUUAAUUAUACAAAUGAAAUAAGGAGAAAUGAAAGAGAAGGAAAAAAGAAAAAUUAAACUUCUUUUCUAUUAUUUAGAUAUCUUACUAAAAUAGAGGAAGAAGUAGAAUCUCUCUUAAUAGAAUUACUCUGUUGCUAUGAGUUUAUAAUUUCAUUAUUAUAUGAUAUUAAGAAUAUGCGAAUAAUUUUAAUAUAAAUAAUAUUUAAUUCUCUUGGUUUCACUAUUAAUGGAAGAGAAAUGUUUUGAGUUAGCGAAGUGAAUUUAGGAAAUAUAAUUUUACUUCAUUUCUCUUAUUUUUCUUAUUUAUUUACUAUGGAAAUUUGAGAAAUUUAUAUUUCUCUUGUUUUACUCUCUCCAUUCCUCUUGAUCUAAACAAAGGGUAAGGUUAGUUCUGAUUUCCCUAAAUCUUAAACCGAGACCGCAGGUUUAGGCUUGAAACUGGCCAUGGAUAUCCUUCGCUUGAAUUAUAAAAGGUUUUAGCUUCAGCCUUAUCUUUUAAUUUGAUACAAGCUUCAGCUAAUAGGCUUUAGAUUCUUUUGCAUGAAGACUGAAAAGUCAAGCCUAGUGUAAAGCCAAGAUAAAGAGCAAUGAUGCAGUCCAUUUCAAAAAGGAAUGACUCAUCGUUUUAAAUACUGGAUUGGACGGUCGGGUCGGUGGGGCUGAAUGUUGAACUUUUUUUUUUAAUUUUAUAAUUACAUUUAAUCAGUUUUUCUUUAUUGAAUUUCGUUAGGAGAUUAGUUAAUCAAUCAGCUAGCUAAACCAUUAGGGACAAAUGAUAUUAUUUUGAAUAGAAAAAGAAAAGAUUUAAUUAAUAAAUUAUACUUCAUAAAAAUUUUUUAAAAAAAUUCGGGAAUCUGAAAAAAAAAAAAAGCAAACAGUGUCAGGUUAGGGGCGGAUAGGAUAGGAAUCGCAAUGGGAGAUGUGGAAAUGUUUUGCAGUUACGUGUACAAUAUUUCUUUGUCAGGAUAAGAUUGUUUUUUCGAUAAACACGGAUGGAAAAAUGGUGGAAUAUUUCUUAGAUAUAAAGUCGAAGGGAAUCCAUUCUUUAUGCUCAUCCUUUGUGAGUUAUAACUAGUUUUCUGUUAUUUUUUCUUUUACAAACAAAAUGAAACCAUGUGUAAAAUCCAUCUGGUAUGAGAACUGAGAAACUUCUAGAUUAUAUGAAAAAAUAAAAUAAAGUUAAAAGACUUUUUAAAACUUUCAAUAAUGGAUAAAAAAUUUAAUUAAACCUUGAUCAAAUUAAAAAAGUGUUUAUCUUGAUUUAUAAAUUGAUUUUAUCAACUUAUAAAUUGUGUAUAUAGAUUAACUUAUUUA